GAUGAACGCUAGCGGCAGGCCUAACACAUGCAAGUCGAGGGGUAGCAGGAUUAAGCUUGCUUAAUUGCUGACGACCGGCGCACGGGUGCGUAACGCGUAUGCAACCUACCUUAUACUGGGGUAUAGCCCGGAGAAAUUCGGAUUAAUCCCCCAUAGUACUAAUGAAUCGCAUGGUUUAUUAGUCAAAGCAUUGCGGUAUAAGAUGGGCAUGCGUCCUAUCAGCUAGAUGGUGAGGUAACGGCUCACCAUGGCUACGAUAGGUAGGGGGCCUGAGAGGGUGGUCCCCCACACUGGUACUGAGACACGGACCAGACUCCUACGGGAGGCAGCAGUGAGGAAUAUUGGUCAAUGGGCGCAAGCCUGAACCAGCCAUGCCGCGUGCAGGAAGAACGCCCUAUGGGUUGUAAACUGCUUUUAUUUGGGAAUAAACCUCUUUACGUGUAGAGAGCUGAAGGUACCAAAUGAAUAAGCACCGGCUAACUCCGUGCCAGCAGCCGCAGUAA
rnacentral:rRNA from 1 species